UACGAGGGGGGCAAGCGUUGUUCGGAAUUAUUGGGCGUAAAGGGUGCGUAGGCGGCGCGGUAUGUCUCUUGUGAAAUCUCCAGGCUCAACUUGGAGUCUGCAAGGGAAACUGCCGUGCUUGAGUACUGGAGAGGUGAGUGGAAUUCCCGGUGUAGAGGUGAAAUUCGUAGAUAUCAGGAGGAACACCAAUGGCGAAGGCAGCACUCUGGGACGGUACUGACGCUGAGACGCGAAAGCGUGGGGGAGCAAACAGG
rnacentral:rRNA from 1 species